UGGGGAAUAUUGGACAAUGGGCGAAAGCCUGAUCCAGCCAUGCCGCGUGUGUGAAGAAGGUCUUCGGAUUGUAAAGCACUUUAAGUUGGGAGGAAGGGCAUUAACCUAAUACGUUAGUGUUUUGACGUUACCGACAGAAUAAGCACCGGCUAACUCUGUGCCAGCAGCCGCGGUAAUACAGAGGGUGCAAGCGUUAAUCGGAAUUACUGGGCGUAAAGCGCGCGUAGGUGGUUUGUUAAGUUGGAUGUGAAAUCCCCGGGCUCAACCUGGGAACUGCAUUCAAAACUGACUGACUAGAGUAUGGUAGAGGGUGGUGGAAUUUCCUGUGUAGCGGUGAAAUGCGUAGAUAUAGGAAGGAACACCAGUGGCGAAGGCGACCAUCUGGACUAAUACUGACACUGAGGUGCGAAAGCGUGGGGAGCAAACA
rnacentral:rRNA from 1 species